rnacentral:tRNA from 1 species
GGGAAUAUAGCUCAGGGGCACAGCACCUGCCUGGCAAGUGUGAGGCCCUGAGUUCGAUUCUCAGUACACACA